GCUUAUCUCCAAGUGUUACCACCGCCAGUGACUGUGUUUCACCUCGAGUGAAGAGAGCACUCCCAUGUGCCCUAGGAAGCAGUCCACAGCGUGCAUCAAUCAAUCGUAUCUCCUGAGGACUCCUUCCAUCACUUCUCUUACCCUUGUCCACAAUCUGUUUCCGCAAAAAUUUGGACAUAACUUCCUUAAAUACCAGCUUCACAUCAACCUCAGAGAACAGCAAUGGCACAGAUUUUCUUGCAACUGGCUUUAUGUGAAUAUCACCCUCAUCAACUUCACCAUCAACCACCACUUCUUCAUCUUCGUCCUCCUCCUCUAGCAAAUCUGGCAUCGUCUCAGUUGACACAAAAGCUUCCAUCGUACUGAUAUAACCCUUUUCAGACAAUAUGCUUAUUACAUUAUCUUCCAGUGAUGAUAACGCCUUUCUUCUUGGAAUCUUGUUUUUGAUUUGUAGAACUUCCACUAACUCACUGCCAGCAAUUUCUUCCACUAGCUUAUACAGCUCCUUAGGAGGUAAUCUGAUUGCAUCAAACAUUUUGGGCUUUCCACAUUUCUGCACUAAAGCUUCCACCUCCUUGCAGAUACCUCGCACAGCAUCUUGCCCAACUUCUACAGCUUCAAGCAACUUAUCCUCCGGAAGAAAAUCACAGUACCCCUCAAUCAUCAAUAUUGCUUCUUUG
rnacentral:misc_RNA from 1 species